rnacentral:rRNA from 1 species
CUAGUAAUCGUAGGUCAGCAUACUACGGUGAAUACGUUCUCGGGCCUUGUACACACCGCCCGUCAAACCAUGAGAGUUGGCAACACCCGAAGUCGGUAGUCUAACCGCAAGGAGGACGCCGCCGAAGGUGGGGUUGAUGAUUAGGGGUUAAGUCGUAACAAGGUACC